rnacentral:lncRNA from 1 species
GUGAAAUCCAACCGGGUGCGCGACCACGAGGAAGGAUGGCGAGGGAGGAAACCGCGCUUUGUUGUUGAGGUGAGCCGGGUGCGCGACCACGAGGAAGGAUGGCGAGGGAGGAAACCGCGCUUUGUUGGUGAGGUGAACCGCGUGCACGAUCCCGAGGAAGUAUUGCCAGGGAGGAAACCGCGCUUUGUUCUUGAGGUGAGCCGGGUGCGCGACCAUGAGGAAGGAUGGCGAGGGAGGAAACCGCGCUUUGUUGGUGAGGUGUUCACGGAUAAUGAAGCUGAUGUGAGAGCCCUGGAGAGAAACAUCAGUCAAAGGCAUGCAGGUUGUGAAUACAAACCUCACUUGUUUCCAGACAGAUUCUUCAUCAUAAUGAUUAGGACAAUGACAGUACAAACAUUCUCAUCCUACAAAAAUAAGUAAUCACAACCACACCUUAUCCAAUAUCUGUACAGCAAUUGUGCCAUACACAUUAAAUUCAGAUUUUUAUAAUGUAAUUUAAUCUGUAUUUCAAGCCACAAUCUUGCUGAAGUUCAUAAUGUUUUGUUCCAACCAUUCUUGUAAUCCCCUCUGGUGACAUGCCAUGGUGCCAGCAUCUUAGUUGUUCCCAUGGCACUAGUAGGUGGAGGCAUCGAGACUGCUGUGUCCUCUCUUCUUGCAGGGAAUCCCAUCCAGCGUCCCUCUACUCUCCUCUGCAGCUUCCAUGGUUGGAAUGCUGAGCCAUUGCUAGGACGAUGAGGCUACAGGAAAGUGAAAUGCACCUGCUGCGAUCUGAUCCAACUGACCACUCCUGCUGCUCCUCCCUUGCACCUCAGGCAUCUCCUUCCAAUCUGGAGGAAACACUUUUACCUCCACUUUUCUUUUACAGUCCUCCAAACUCUGUUCCUUCUAGGGAGCACAAGUACAGAAAUAGAAACCUGGACUCCCAUCAUCCUGCUUCACAAACUUACAAUGUUAAAGAAAGAAAAAAAAAAAGACCAAGUACAUUACCUGGUAGAAUUGGAGAGAUGGGCACGAAAGAGCUGUAAAUACAGUUAGAAAACACACUAGCAUUUACAAAUGUGUAUGAGAAACAAUGAGGAGGAUUUUCAGAGACUAUCAUAACCAUUUAUUUUUCUAAUAUGUGAUAAGUAAACGCACAGAAAAUCAAUUUAAUAUUUGGGGCUUUUAUUUCUCAUUUUUUAGAUUGCCAGAAAGACUGUCCAGUGUUAUAAAGUUUGUGUCAAUAUUCUGGAAUUGGCAAUUUUGUCAUUUAUAUGGGAGAAAUAGCUAAAGGUGUAGUAUAAAGUAUUUGCUCGUAGGUAAUGGAAUGUUACCUUUACCCAAAGAUAUAAAAAAUAAACGG